AAGAGGCAAAGAGCAGGAUGAAGAGGAAUCUACUCAGAGCUAUGGUAGUUCCAACCUGUUCCCUGAAAACCCACACAGGAACAAGGUGACGUGGUGAGCAUUGAUGCAUAUGAGCUUGGAAACUGGAACACUGAUCAUGUGAUUAACACAUGAAUAGCAGGUGGUUCUUCCAAGUCUAAUUUGUCAAGGAACAAAGGAAGUUGUGGGUACAAGAAGUCUCAUGCUUACCUUUUCUACCACAUGUAAUUUGACUACGAGCCAACCACUUUAUUCCAUAAAUAUGACAGCCUGAGUGAGCUUUUUUGAGCUCUCCCUGCUAAGGAGCAGGCCGCACAGCAGUGAUCUCUCCCUGAGCGUGGAUGCCUCUCAAAUUACUUCUUGAGGCCGAGAGACCCCUUACCAACUGCAGAUCUUUGAUAGAUCACUCUCAAAGAGGACUUGGCCACCCAAGGAAAAAGGCCCAGCCCAAUGAAUGAAGCAGCAUAAAGGACUGCAACACUCCACAGAACAUCCCCCAAGAGGGACCCUACACUCACCCCUGAACAGAAAAAUACUAUAAACACAUGAAGAACAUCAAGGGUGCUGAACAUCACCAUGGAUGGGAAUUCUGCCCAGCAAGCCAUGGUCCCACCAGUGAGGUCUGUCUGAUGCUGUCUUGUUGUGGGUUCCCACAACACCAGAAGGGACACAGAAGAUUUCUUCUCAUUAUAACCUCUAGUAGUAAUCAGCUAUUUAUCUUAAGUAUCAUGUGCCUUUCUUAGUGAGAUCCAG